ACGCUGGCGGCACGCCUAACACAUGCAAGUCGAACGAAGUAGCAAUACUUAGUGGCAGACGGGUGAGUAACAUGUAGGUAUCUGCCCUUUGGCCUGGAAUAACACGAGGAAACUUGUGCUAAUACCGGAUAAGUCUUUACAGAGAAAGCUUUAUGCACCAUUGGAUGAGCCUGCACUUGAUUAGUUUGUUGGUGGGGUAAUGGCCUACCAAGACUUUGAUCAAUAGCUGAUUUGAGAGGAUGAUCAGCCACAUUGGGACUGAGACACGGCCCAAACUCCUACGGGAGGCAGCAGUGGGGAAUCUUGCACAAUGGAGGAAACUCUGAUGCAGCGAUGCCGCGUGAGUGAAGAAGGCCCUUGGGUUGUAAAGCUCUUUCGUCGGGGAAGAAAAUGACUGUACCCGAAUAAGAAGGUCCGGCUAACUUCGUGCCAGCAGCCGCGGUAAUACGAAGGGACCUAGCGUAGUUCGGAAUUACUGGGCUUAAAGAGUUCGUAGGUGGUUGAAAAAGUUGGUGGUGAAAUCCCAGAGCUUAACUCUGGAACUGCCAUCAAAACUUUUCAGCUAGAGUAUGAUAGAGGAAAGCAGAAUUUCUAGUGUAGAGGUGAAAUUCGUAGAUAUUAGAAAGAAUACCAAUUGCGAAGGCAGCUUUCUGGAUCAUUACUGACACUGAGGAACGAAAGCAUGGGUAGCGAAGAGGAUUAGAUACCCUCGUAGUCCAUGCCGUAAACGAUGUGUGUUAGACGUUGGAAAUUUAUUUUCAGUGUCGCAGCGAAAGCGAUAAACACACCGCCUGGGGAGUACGACCGCAAGGUUAAAACUCAAAUGAAUUGACGGGGACCCGCACAAGUAGUGGAGCAUGUGGUUUAAUUCGAAGAUACGCGCAGAACCUUACCAACACUUGACAUGUUCGUCGCGACUUUAAGAGAUUAAAGUUUUCGGUUCGGCCGGACGAAACACAGGUGCUGCAUGGCUGUCGUCAGCUCGUGUCGUGAGAUGUUGGGUUAAGUCCCGCAACGAGCGCAACCCUCACUUUUAGUUGCCAUCAUUAAGUUGGGCACUCUGAAAGAACUGCCAGUGAUAAGCUGGAGGAAGGUGGGGAUGACGUCAAGUCCUCAUGGCCCUUACGUGUUGGGCUACACACGUGCUACAAUGGUAUCUACAACAGGAAGCAAGACGGCGACGUUUAGCAAAUCCCCAAAAGCCGUCCCAGUUCGGAUUGUACUCUGCAACUCGAGUGCAUGAAGUUGGAAUCGCUAGUAAUCGUGGAUCAGCAUGCCACGGUGAAUACGUUCCCGGGCCUUGUACACACCGCCCGUCA
rnacentral:rRNA from 1 species